rnacentral:tRNA from 1 species
GGCCGUGUACCCAAGUGGCUAAGGGGGAGGUCUGCAAAACCUUCAUCAUCGGUUCGAUUCCGAUCACGGCCU